rnacentral:rRNA from 1 species
AUGCAAGUCGAACGGCAGCACGGGAGCAAUCCUGGUGGCGAGUGGCGAACGGGUGAGUAAUACAUCGGAACGUGUCCUGGAGUGGGGGAUAGCCCGGCGAAAGCCGGAUUAAUACCGCAUACGCUCUAUGGAGGAAAGGGGGGGAUCUUCGGACCUCUCGCUCAAGGGGCGGCCGAUGGCAGAUUAGCUAGUUGGUGGGGUAAAGGCCUACCAAGGCGACGAUCUGUAGCUGGUCUGAGAGGACGACCAGCCACACUGGGACUGAGACACGGCCCAGACUCCUACGGGAGGCAGCAGUGGGGAAUUUUGGACAAUGGGGGCAACCCUGAUCCAGCAAUGCCGCGUGUGUGAAGAAGGCCUUCGGGUUGUAAAGCACUUUUGUCCGGAAAGAAAACCAUCGCCCUAAUAUGGUGGUGGGAUGACGGUACCGGAAGAAUAAGCACCGGCUAACUACGUGCCAGCAGCCGCGGUAAUACGUAGGGUGCAAGCGUUAAUCGGAAUUACUGGGCGUAAAGCGUGCGCAGGCGGUUCGCUAAGACCGAUGUGAAAUCCCCGGGCUUAACCUGNGAACUGCAUUGGUGACUGGCGGGCUAAAGUGUGGCAGAGGGGGGUAGAAUUCCACGUGUAGCAGUGAAAUGCG